rnacentral:rRNA from 1 species
ACGCUCGACACCUACGGGGGGCAGCAGUGGGGGAAUAUUGCACAAUGGGGGAAACCCUGAUGCAGCGACGCCGCGUGAGCGAAGAAGUAUUUCGGUAUGUAAAGCUCUAUCAGCAGGGAAGAAACUGACGGUACCUGACUAAGAAGCACCGGCUAAAUACGUGCCAGCAGCCGCGGUAAUCUGAGCGGCUGGCAAGGC